rnacentral:lncRNA from 1 species
ACACUACAAGGCUGUUUACCAAGCCUGCUGGAGCCUCUGAAGGGCAGCAGCCAGCUCACCCCCCAUGCCCUGGAUGGCAACAAGGCACAGGAGACCGCAGAGCAUACAAACAGGGCAAGAGGAAACCAUCUAUCAAUGACCAGGGACCAGAGGAAGCAAAGUUCUAACAUCUCGCUCACGUUCUCCCAAGGCCCAGAGCACUCCUCUUCUUGGUGGAUACCAAUGCACUUUGAGAAGAAGCAGGAAUGCAUGUAUUUCUAAACAAUGAACUUUGGAGAAAUUAACAGGCAAAGGAUCAAGUACUACUAAUAUAAAAAUGAAAAGGUAAAUUAAACCCAAAGAGAGAUAGCUGCUUGGCUGGUCUGCCUAAAAGGGAGUCAAUCUCACUUUAAAUCAG